CUCCCCCCCCCCGCGUACACAUCCCUUAGGAGAUUCUCCACGCAGUAUGUAUGUGAUGGAGUGACUCCGGAUUUGCACCUUUUCAUCAGGUUCUCUUCAUUUCUUAGAUUCUGUUUCCAAAAAAAUCAUAAAAUCUGCUUAGAACCAGAUGCUACUUGUGAUCCCCACCCCCAACCCCCCUCUUCCUUCAUCUUAUUCAUGAGAAAACAGGCAUUGAGAAAGAGAUCGUCUUCAGAUGGGACUAGAAUCACGUCUCCCCGGCCAGCACUGGGCUGCUCUGUGUCAGUUCGUCUCCGGGUCGUGUAUACACGACCCACCGCGCUACCCAGACGAGCUAGUGGAAACCUGUUGAUACCUGACUUCCUAAAGACUAAUUUCCUUCUCAAAUCUCUCUGCUCUGUUCUUUUGCUUCCCAAGCAUAUGGCCUUGAAAUCCUCUUUCUUUUUCUUUUUCCGUCCUUUUCAUCACAGACACAUGCUUCGUCUAGAUAUUACUGAAAUGUGAAGAAUACUCCGAAGCAGAGUCUCAUUUCCUGAGAAGUAGCCUUCUAAGUGAAUCAAGAUGCAAUACAGAAUCACUCUGUUUUUAGUGGUGAAGGUGAAAUCUUUAUAACCUGUCUACUCUCCAGAAGUCCUCGAGACUUAACAAGGAAGGCGUAGAUAAAAUAAAACAAACACCGAACAAGGUAAAAAAAAUACCAAAUUGUAAAGAAGGAGAGGGAAACAUAUAUUUACCAUAACAUUGUGCACAGUCCUGGUUAAGGACCUUGGCAUUUGAACUUGACUUCUUUAGGAGCCACGACAAAGCUGUGACAGAACCAUCCUUGUCUCCUACCAGGACAAACACUGGUUUCAUUUUCACCGCCCGGUUCUGAGGGAAGUUUGCUGUUAGAGGGCAUUAGACAAGAAAAUGAGUUUUUGUGGAAUUCGGUGAAGGCCAUGGGUGAAAAUGUGACCCGGGGCUGGGGACUCAGGAUGACUUAGCCCAGGUGUAUGGCCUUUUCCUAAUCUGGCUUUAUACCAAGACAAGGCUUGAAUAAAUAAUGCAAGAAUCAAUUUUUCCCGUCUGGCUUGGUGAUGAAUUGAGGUCAUUAUUGAGCGCCUAACGGAUGCGUUUUCUGCAUCGUCGACUGAAAGAGAAUUCACAUGCUGCAGAAUUAGUACCUCGGAAUGGAGUUCGCGAAGGCCGUGUUGUAUUGGGUAAAAGGAGAAUCUGCCUUCAUAAUCAAGGGCCCCCUCUGUCUAGGGGAAGGUCACAGGCAGGACCUGGGUGUUUCUCAGAAGCAUUCCUCAGUAGUACUCAGAGCCCCCAGACCCUGAGCUGUAGAGCAGGGACGACAGUGUUUAGGAUAAGAGAUAAUAAAGAGCUACCCUUAGGCUAGAAGACUCUAAAGACAGCUUCCAUGAUGUGUUUCUUUAGAAGCAUCUUCCACCCCAUGCUUUUCCUCAGACCCUCUGGUAUAGAUUUGGGACUCUUUUCUGUUGGCUGGGACACUGACAGUGCAGUGCCACAUGGUCCAGACCCCCAUGACAGGAAACGCAGGUUCCUUGACUCUAGUCCUAAGCUGCUCUCGCAACUCUUCCCGCUCACUAGUCAUUGGAAACGUUACGAAGGAAGGUUUCUGAGAAGUUGUGCCGCCCUGAAGUGUGUUCUUGAGAGUCAGGGGCUGAAGCCCUGUCAGUCAGAUAUCUGCUGAGGGCCGGCUCCCCCUCUGGCAGGAGCUUCCACCUGGAACCAUUGGAAACGACACCCAAAUGUGGCAGGAACGGGUGAGCCGCGUCAUCGUUUGUGGACGCAGGGAGGGCAUACAUAAACAAUGACCAGUUUUAAGUGUCACGGUCUCUCUGCUUUACACAAAUGACAUUUAAGGGCAUAGGUUUUAUGAUGAGAAGUAGGGAGUCGAAGUUUAAAAACUCAGUGACAAGUUUUAUGAAACCUGGGGAGAACCUCCCACUCGUCUCGUACGACGAUCCGAUCUAUAUGUAAAGAAAGACACAAUACCACAACGGAAAUCAAUAAUCCUGAGAGGAGGAGAAGGAACAAGAGAAUACAAAUAAAUCUGGGGCGGGGGCGCCUGGGUGGCUCCGUCGGUUAAGCGUCCGACUUCGUCUCAGGUCACGAUCUCGUAGUUUGUGAGUUCGAGCCCCGCGUCGGGCUCCGUGCUGACAGCUCAGAGCCUGGAGCCUGCUUCCGAUUCUGCGUCUCCCUGUCUCUCUGUCCCUCACCUACUUGCACUCUGUCUCUCUCUGUCUCCCAAAAAUAAAUGAAUGCUAAAAAAAAAAAUUAAAAAGAAAAAAUAACUCUGGGGUUUUUCGUAUCUAGAAGUGAAGAAAAAAGUUUGGUAUCUGGAAAGGCACUCAAGGUUUAUUACCUAUAAGGCCCUGGGAGACGGUGCAGGUUUUCAGGAGGUCAGAUGACAAGGACAAGGGAAGGCACGAGUCCGAUGGAGCCGGGCUGCAGGAGAGGUGGCUGGGGAGGAGCUCUGAGCUCAGCUGGUCACAGCCGCCAUCCUGAGGCGACCAGAGUAAAAUGGAGCGUCACGGCCUGGGCUCCGUUGCUGCCAUUCGGCACAGACACAUAGCACUGUUGUUUGAGUCCCAGCAUCUCUGCAGGCUUUCCCCAAACCAUUCCAUUUUCUUGUGUGUGUGUGUGUGUGUGUUUAAGGUUUUAUUUUUAAGUAAUCUCUGCUCCCAACGUGGGGCUCGAACCCCCACCCCCCACCCAGAUCAGGAGUCACAGGCUCCACCGACUGAACCAGCCAGGUGCCCCUCAUUUUCUUGUUUGCAAAAUGGGGAUCCCACCUCUUCAGCCUCCCUCAGGGCGUUCUGUGGGGACCGCAUGAGUGACAUUUGCUUGAGGAUGAGGACGUUUUCAUCCUUCAAUGUGGACCAAGUGCCAGGACAAGGGGGCUGGUAGAAAUGUUUGCUCCCGUGCCCCGCGGCCAGUUUAUGCCCCACUGCUCUCUUCUUUGCAUUGGACGCCUGGGUUACGUUUUUUGGUUGGCAUUGGACCGGAGCUGUUUCAGAUUCGAACGCUUCAUUUGUCCUGGACAAGUUAUUUAUCCUUUCAAGCUCCGUCUUAUCAUCUGUAAAAUGGGUUUGGUAUUUCUUGCCAUGUUGUUACGAGGACAAAAGGAGAUAAGGAAUAUGAAAGCAUCUGGGGGCGCCUGAGUGGCUCAGUCGGUUGAGUGUCUGACUUCGGCUCAGGUCAUGAUCUCGCAGUUCGUGGGUUCGAGCCCCACGUCGGGCUCUGUGCUGACAGCUCGGAGCCUGGAACCUGCUUCGGAUUCUGUGUCUCCCUCUCUCUCUGCCCCUCCCCUUUUCACACUCUGUCUCUCUCUCUCUCUCUCUCUCUCUCUCUCUCAAAAAUAAACAAACAUUAAAAAUAAACUUAAAAAAAUAACAACAAAAAAUAAAAUAAAAGCAUCUGGCAGAAUUAGUAGUCAUGGCACAUUCAGUAAAUGUUAGGUUUUCUCCCCUUUUUCUGUAGUUGUGCCCUUGGAAGAAAAAUUCCCUUGAAAGAGAAGUGACUUCAGUUUUGUGUCAGUGUCUUCCAUAAAGGGAGAAACAAAAAUCUUUCAAAAUUUUAUUUAAAAUAUUCAACUGAUGGAAAACACAUGACGAUAGUAAAUAAUCUUGGGGCUCCUGGCUGGCGCAGUCAGAAGAGCAUGGAACUCUUGAUCUCAGGGUCGUGUGAGCCCCAUGUUGGCUGUAGAAAUUACUUAAAUAAAUAAAACUUAAAAAAAAAAAGAGAGAGAGUAAGUAAUGUUAAAGAUUUCCGGUUUGGGGAGCCCUAACGAUUUAAAUGUGACCUGAUGCUUUCUUGCAGACUUGGGCCGGGUGGUCCGGCUUAGUGCCUGAGCUCUGACUUAGGAGCGAGACUGACGGGGUCCCACCAGUUGCCAGCUCUAUGACCUUGGACAAGUUCACCUGUCUGUGCCUCAGUUUCCUCUUUUGUACGAGAGAAACGCGCGUCUCUGUCUCAUCUGGGUCAGCUUGUAUUCGAGGAGCUUCGUGGGGAUAGGAGAGCUUCGCCUUUGGUGAGGGAAGCACUUCGUGCUUUUGGUGACCUGCAGGUCCCCCACCGGGUGCUGUCACUACUACUGAAGACAUUCGUCAUCGUGACAGGUGGUUCUCCGCUCUGUGCCUGGUGCCCGAGACCCUGUGCAGGCCACUUAGAGGGGAUCCUUCGUUUUAAGUCACUACAGAGUGCCGUUCUCUACGGAUACUGUAUUUCAACUCUUUUGUGUCCACGGUUUCAAAAUUUUCCACUCACACUGCUCUUUUGACGCGUUCAGGAAACGGUCGUCUUUUCGGCGCUUCUAAUUCUUUCCGUUUUCGUGGACCCCUCGUUCAUCUCUAAUAAAAUGUGAGCUGUAUUUAUCUGAAAAUUUAAAAUCGAGAUGUUACUAAGCUACUUGUGACCGCACUCUCUUUUGUUCGUAGAUUAAAACAGAAAGAAGAGGGGCGUCUUGGUGGCCCAGUCGGUUAAGUGUCUGAUUUUUCAUUUUGGCUCAGGUCGUGAUCUCACGGUCCUGAGAUGGAGAUUGUCUCUUUCCCGGAGCGCCUGGGUGGCUCAGUCGGUUGAGUGUUCGACUCAGAUCACGAUCUCAUGGUUAGUGAGUUCGAGCCCCACAUCGGGCUCGCUGCUGUCGGGGCAGAGCCUACUUUGGAUCCUCUGUCCUCUUCUCUCUGCCACUCCCCUGCUCAUAUGCACUUCUUUCUCUCUC